rnacentral:lncRNA from 1 species
CAGCUAGUAAUGUUCAGCUUAGGUUUAACUUUGCUUUGCAACUGGCUACGUUUUUAUAUUUGUUUUAUUCUUUAUUUUGUUGGAAGUAUGUGGAAGGAUCAUUUGAGAAAUACCUUGAACGACUGGGAGAUCCAAAGGAAAGUGCUGGCCAGUUGGAAAUGAGUGCCUUAUCAGUCAUGUACAAGCGAGACUUUAUUCUGUACCGGUACCCUGGAAAGCCACCCGUUCAUGCUACAAACAAUGGCUUUGAAGACAAGGUGAGCAGAAGUGAGGCAAUUUCCUACCCCUAAAUCCCAACUACCUCCAGUCCUGCUUAGUUGUAAAAACUUGCCA